rnacentral:siRNA from 1 species
AACUAGAAUUUAACCCGUGGUA